rnacentral:ribozyme from 13 species
UUCUUCUCAUUUUCACUCUCACUCUCUUUUUCUUUCUUUUCCUCUUUUUCAAUACAUGGAGGAGGAAGACCAGAACCCUUUGGACCAAAAGCAUAGUAUGAAUUAGAAGGAGAAUAAUGCAAUUUCGAAACCCAAUUUUUCAUAAAAUCUUCAAAAUAAUCUCGAUAAUAACAAGCCAAAUUAUGCAUAUUAUUUCGAAUUUCUAAACCGUAAAUCUUUCGACAAUUCGCUAAAAGUCUCAAUUGAAAACAAACUCCA